UACAGAGGUCCCAAGCGUUGUUCGGAUUCAUUGGGCGUAAAGGGUGCGUAGGCGGCGCGGUAAGUCGGGUGUGAAAUCUCAGAGCUUAACUCUGGAACUGCCUUUGAUACUGGGUAUCUCGAGUAUGGAAGAGGUGAGUGGAAUUCCGAGUGUAGAGGUGAAAUUCGUAGAUAUUCGGAGGAACACCAGUGGCGAAGGCGGCUCACUGGUCCAUUACUGACGCUGAGGUGCGAAAGCGUGGGGAGCAAACAGG
rnacentral:rRNA from 1 species